rnacentral:rRNA from 1 species
AACGAACGCUGGCGGCAUGCCUAACACAUGCCAGUCGAACGAAGGCUUCGGCCUUAGUGGCGCACGGGUGCGUAACGCGUGGGAAUCUGCCCUUUGGUUCGGAAUAACAGCUGGAAACGGCUGCUAAUACCGGAUGAUGACGAAAGUCCAAAGAUUUAUCGCCAGAGGAUGAGCCCGCGUUGGAUUAGGUAGUUGGUGGGGCAAAGGCCUACCAAGCCGACGAUCCAUAGCUGGUCUGAGAGGAUGAUCAGCCACACUGGGACUGAGACACGGCCCAGACUCCUACGGGAGGCAGCAGUGGGGAAUAUUGGACAAUGGGCGCAAGCCUGAUCCAGCAAUGCCGCGUGAGUGAUGAAGGCCCUAGGGUUGUAAAGCUCUUUUACCCGGGAAGAUAAUGACUGUACCGGGAGAAUAAGCCCCGGCUAACUCCGUG